rfam:Nicotiana sylvestris Nsyl_contig4525, whole genome shotgun sequence.
UGGACAGAUUAUUAUAUUCAGAUGUAUUCGACUGUAUUCACGGCGUGAAACAAGGAAUUACAUUGUUUUUAAACAGAAAGUGAAUCAAUUAACAUAAUAGACUCCU